GACGAACGCUGGCGGCGUGCUUAACACAUGCAAGUCGAACGAGACGAUUGAAAGCUUGCCUUCGAAAGUCGAGUGGCAAACGGGUGAGUAACGCGUAGACAACCUGCCUUUGAGAUGGGGACAACAGUUCGAAAGGACUGCUAAUACCGAAUGUUGUAUAUUUUCCACAUGGAAGAUAUAUUAAAGAUGGCCUCUAUUUAUAAGCUAUCGCUCAAAGAUGGGUCUGCGUCUGAUUAGCUAGUUGGUGGGGUAACGGCCUACCAAGGCGACGAUCAGUAGCCGGUCUGAGAGGAUGAACGGCCACAUUGGGACUGAGACACGGCCCAGACUCCUACGGGAGGCAGCAGUGGGGAAUCUUCCACAAUGGACGAAAGUCUGAUGGAGCAACGCCGCGUGAGUGAAGAAGGGUUUCGGCUCGUAAAGCUCUGUUGUCGGGGACGAAUGUGCAUUACUUGAAUAAAGAAUUGUAAUGUCGGUAUUAAACGAGAAAGCCACGGCUAACUACGUGCCAGCCGCCGCGGUAA
rnacentral:rRNA from 1 species